CUUCCUUACCUUUCUGUACACGAUCAUGUUUGGGGACUCAUCCGCUACCCCAUUGGUUCCCUGCCCACCACUGUUGGUCUGCGCCAUCAUCCGGCAAGUAAAUCUGCCACAGGAAGUGCAAGAUGCUCCUGAUGGAAGGGAAAAAAAAA